CCAACAUGACACGUUAUGCAACCACACGAGUCACAUCAGUUGUAUUCUAAGUUUAACAAAUAUUUUUUAUUCUUUGUGUUUAAAUUUUAUCUAGUGAAUAUGUUAAUCGUAUUAAUAAGCUAGGUUUUAUUCGCGUUCAUGUUUAUUUUUUCGCUUGUAUGUGUCACAUUCGUAUGCGUAUUAAUACAAAUGCGAAAUAACAAGCGAUAAAGCGCACGCAGAAACAUGUGCGGUGCACUUCAGGCGGGCAAGACGAGUGGCUGAAGCCAGGCGGCGGCUCCGGAACGGGACUCAGGGCCUCUUCCUCCGCUAGGGCACCGCCUUCACUUGAUCCAUGUACUACGCAGCUACCCCCAAAUCGAUUGCUUUCGCUCAACCUAACGAUUUUUUAUUGACUGAAAGAAAAAUUGUCGGGAAUCUGCAAGUUUUAAGAUUUUUUUUUUACACGUCAUCGAAUCAGCAAUCGAGCAGCAAUAAGAAGGCUAUUGUGUAGUAGUAUCUGACUGAUAUAACAUAAUGUUGAUUAUCAUAAAAAAGAUACUCGUUUGAUCUGAUGUUCAAUGAUA